rnacentral:rRNA from 1 species
UACAUGGGGUGCAAACGUUGCUCGGAAUUAUUGGGCGUAAAGCGCGCGUAGGCGGUUACUUAAGUCGGAUGUGAAAGCCCUCGGCUUAACUGAGGAAGUGCACCCGAAACUGAGUAGCUAGAGUACGAAAGAGGGUCGCGGAAUUCCCGGUGUAGAGGUGAAAUUCGUAGAUAUCGGGAGGAACACCGGUGGCGAAGGCGGCGACCUGGGUCGAGACUGACGCUCAGGCACGAAAGCGUGGGGAGCAAACAGG